CAAAAUAGGAUCAAGCUAUACCAGGAAACAGCAUCAGCUCUGAAAAAAAACAUCACCACUAUAUGUGGAGCGCAGAUGGUGCUUUUGGUUCUUGAUAUUAUAGCUGUUUUUAAGUUUAUUGGAGAAAAAUAUGGAUUUUUAAAUCUUACACCUGCAUGCUGAGAGGAAGCAUAUGUAGAGACUCACUGAAUCCCUGGGUGUAUUCUGAGUGGAUUUUUACACACGCUGAGCUGGAGUUUCCACUCUCGCUCUCCAUGAGCAGGAUUUAAUUCUGAAGUGGUUCUGCUGAGGUCAGGCGCAAGCACAGUAGAAGAUGAAAAGGACAUGGAUUCUGUCCUCUGCAUUGAUGGUCUGUUCGCAAAGAGAGACUGACUGUUGAAUCACCUCAGCAUAGCUGCCAUAUUUCUUGUAUUAGAAAAGCCAGUUUGUAAAGUGGUUCGCCAAAGCUGGAACUCCCGUGGCAAAUCCUAGCCCCUUCCCCCAAGGGGUCGGAGGAGCAAUUGCGUUUUGGCCUCAAAGAGAAAUCCUGUUGACUGGAACAAGGGCUGCUGCAGCCAGGGCUGGAACAAAACUUUUUAAGCCUAGAGCUGAGAAAACACCAGGUGGUAACAGGAGCUGCAAAUUGCUAAGUAACUCUGGCAAAGUUCCUCUGCACCCUCAUUUCCAGAAAAAAGCCCUGAGGCUGUUUUCUCUAUCUGUGGAGCGGCCUCCUUCCUUUAGCGAGUUCAGGUAUUCCCCCUGCCUUGAAAGCGCGCAUCUCCCCUCGCUUUCCCGCACCCCUCUUCUCCUUCCUCUCCUCAGGGUCCUGAGUUCACUUUGCACCCUUUCUGCAGGAUUUGCAGACGUAAGGAGGAGAGCAGCGAGAGCUGAUUUCGCCCCCACCUUUCUCUGCUUCUGCUAUCCAGCGUGCCGUGCACAGCCGUCAUCCAGGAGGCCACCGUUGGUCCUCAGCCUGUGCACGCAGCUGCUCCUGCGUUGCCGUAUGAACGGUCGAGGCUUCGCUGACAGAGAGCCUGGGGCUGCCUGCUUUCAGCCGCUAGAAGAUCAGAUGCCAUUUCAAGCAGGUCUGAGAAGGGACUGAAGAAGGUAAGGACUUCAGUCUCAAGUCAUAUGAAGCAAGAAAUAAGAAUAACUGGAAAUCGAGGACGAGAUGGAAUGCAGGCCGCUAAGGGGUAAGCGUAGCACAGGUAACUUACAAGUUGCUGAAAAGCACCACAAACAAAUGAGGUCUGAGUUCAGUACGUUUAACAAACGUACUCUCAAGUAAUCCUCUAGCAUUUCUCUACUGACUGAACCACAGCCGAGGCUUGCUGCGGGAAUGCAGGAUUUUGCAUGUCAAGCUUGCGAUUAGG
rnacentral:lncRNA from 1 species